rnacentral:lncRNA from 1 species
AGAAUGAAAAAGUGAUGAAAAAAAAAGGAAAAGAAAGAAAAGUGAUGAAGGAAGCUUCACGUGAAUCAUUGUUUUUCUUUCAUAUUACUUCAUAUCACCACUACUCAUAUUUCUUCAUAAUACAUCAUUAACCAUCAUCAUCCUUUCUUUUCUCAACACACCAACUUGUUUUCUUUCAGCAACUUUACUACACAUAAAAUUAUUACCCCAUAUUCUUCAUCCAAACUACCACCAUCUAACCAAAGAUACACACACAUUUCCUCUACACCAGCGGCACAUAUGAGUCAGUGCAAAGAAAAAGGAUAAUGCGAUUUCAAUGGUUUCUGAUCUUCAGCACGUGUUUUAAUCUUCUUCAAAUUUUGGAUAUUCAAUACAAUAGUAUAAGAGGCACAUUUCCCUUAUGUUAGUCAAUAUAACCACGUUGUCAGUGCUUGAUCUUUCUAGCAAUGCACUUUCCGGUGAAGUUCUGCCAUACAUAGGAAAGCUACCUUCACUUUUCAGCUCAACAAAACAACAUUGCAUGGUUCGACAACUUCACAACAAUUUUCUUUUACGUUCUGUUUUGUAUUUAGUGUUUGUGUAUGCUGGAUUUUGAUUUUGUUUGUGUUUAUUUUGUAAGUUGGAUUUAUACAUGGAUUAGACAUUACUCGUAUGCUGCUACGCCGUUGGAUUUUUUAUUUGAGAUAUUGAUAUGAUAUUUUAUCGCGUUACAAUCCUUGUGUGUGAUAUUUCCCUUUUGUUGUUGCUACGUAUAAAUCAGCUUUGAAUAUAUUAUGUUUAGUUUUGUAUAUGUACUUUUGUGAUAUUUCUCAUUUUAAUUUCGAUUUGUGAUGUUGACAUCAUUACGGUUUGGUGUGUUUGUUUUACCAUUGUGCGCAUUGAGCUUCACUUCAUUACAAUUUCAAUUCUUUGCAUUAUGAUUUUGUUCUUAAUUCGAUUCAUUUUGCGAUGAUAAACUUCAUGUUAGCAAUUCAUUCGAUUCAUGGUAAACAUGCAACGAUUCAACCUCGUUACUUUUAAAUAGGAUUCAAAUUUUACUUUUGUUAGUUUUGCACAUCUUUGCGUUACGCGACAUUGAUUCACAUCCUCACAUCAUGAUCUUGAUCUGUGUAUGUUUCAUUUUUAUUUACUUUCUUCGAUUCAAUUAUAAUGAAUGUGUUGUGUGCACUUUUAUCUCUUGUAUCUGGUUUUAAUUUGUAUUGAUUUUACUUCUAUUGGCUAUCCUUAUUUCAUUCCCCAUUCGACAAGAUGUAUUCCCCAACCCCGAAUUGUAUUAUUUAGCUAAUUUUGUUGCUUUC